CCACGCACGCUCGUCUGCCCUCAUCCUUACCCAGUUCUCAAAAAAAAAAUCUCCUCCUUUCCCAAACCAAACCUUAUCUGUUCUCCUCCUUUCCCCAAAUCAACCAGACCACCAGUCUUUCACUUGCUUCUCACUACUGCCAACCGCUGGUCGCCGGUCUUGCCAACUCUCGGCAGUGAGGGCCAUCCAGGCCUCAACGGCAGGUCCCGGGUGUUGGCUGCUUGGGCUUCUCCUUCUCUCACUGCCUUCUCCGCUCAUGCUGCAUGCUGCCGUGCAGCGGACCGCUGAUGCUGCCGCCGACUGGUAAACUAAUCGGUGAAAAGCGUUGAAGGAGCAAGACUGCUGCAAGAGAAAAGGUAACACUGGUGAAACAGCAAACCAUGGUCCAGGAGAGCAUAUCUGUAGUUAUUGGUUGUAGGCAUCUUUUGGUCAGUCCGGUGUGUUCUACAGUUGUGGCUAUGGAGCACUUUUGGCCAGUUUGGUGUUUUCUACAGUUGUGGCUAUGGAGCACUGGAUAAUAGUAGUAAUUAUCCACAAGACCAGGUAUGUUGGUGUUACCAUUCUCAUAAUUACAGGUAACACUAUAUUUGCUGGGUAAAUUAAGUAAGGUACAUACCCUUGCAUCGAGGCGGAAGGGAGAGGUGGGUACAACAUCGAUAACAUCUGAGGUGGCGAUGAGCUCGGCCAGAUGGCGCAUCGUUCCAAAGUAUCAGAACAACGGAGCAGGCGCAAAGAAUCUGCAGCAAUAACAGAAAACAAAAAUUUACAAUUUUUUCAGCUAGACAACACACCAGAACUAUCUCAACCAUGAACUGACAUCUAAAACACCAGAAACUGAAGAACGUUACAGCAGCACAAAUCUUCAUCUUCAUAAGAAAAUCAAUCUUAAAUUAGGCAAGGGUAUUGAUAUGCAAAUUUGAGAUAGAAAAAUGUUUAUUUUCCUAGGUAAUAACUCGCAACUGGUCUGCAAAUACACUGAAUAAAAAGAUAUGUAGAUUAAACAUGAUAUCCUACUGAUAGAAACAAAUGGAGUUUGUUCUUGUUUGAAAUCAGCAAGGAAGUAGUACCUAAAGGACUCCUCAGCCAGAGGCCACACAAAUAAAGGUUGCCCCUGACAAAGAGCUCAUGCUCUUGUAUAUCUGUUCAGUUUCUGCACAACAUCAAAGCAAUUUGUAAGGUGAUCCUCUCGGGCCAUGUAGUAUGGUUUGCCUACAGUUUCAGCAAAGCAAUCAUAGAUGACGAAUAAGCCUUAGGUUCUGGGGCAAAAAUGUCUUACAUAUAUUCUGAAUAAACUGUAUCAAUUAAGUUAACUCCGUCAUGUAGGGAUGGAAAAUCAAGCAAAAUGCAGUAGGAAAUGUAUAUUUUACAUAAUUUAACAAGAGUCUCCACAUUUGCCUUCAGAGGCUUGAAAUUACUAAACAAAUCAGAAGAAAAAAUGGGAAGAUCUAGAUUAUAAGGUGCAAAGGUAUGUUCCAGAGAAUACCAGUCCUGAAGAACACAGAUAGCCCAAAAUCAAUUUGCCUUUAGAGUAGAACUCUUCUUCUUAUUUGCAUGUAAGUUCUCUAGUUUAAGGUCCUGCUGGAUGACACCAUUUCUAUGGCACAUCUGUCACAAUAUAGUAGAAAGAAUAUGUGUCAGAUGUCACAAAACUACCCAAUAUUGGAAGAAACACUUGUGGAACAAAAAGCUGGACUGAAGUUAACAAUCAAUAGUGACAUGACAAUUUACAUAAUUCUCGGAGAAGCGUGUAGCAUAUUUUGUAUCUCUGGAGUUCAACAUGGCAAUAUUUUGUAUCUACAAUACUUUGUUUCAUCAUGUGUUUUAAAGGUCAGGAACCUACCCAUGCUUUGCUGGGGUAGUGAAGGUUAUGGUUUUUCCAAAGGUGGUCCAGGAUGUUCCUAUGAACUGAACAUUAAACAGAUUGGAAAUGAGAAAACACUUGCCACUGCUCGCUCCUGCCAUCGUCCGCAACCCUGGCUCAGCUGAAAAGAAUGAUAUAAACAUUCAGAAAAUUUUGAGCUCUAAACUCAGUGCAUUUAUUGAAAUCGGAUCUCCAAAGAUAAUAGCAAAUACAAAUAAAAGUCUAUGCAAGCUCCAGACCUACCGUUGAAAAGAAAUCAGGAUAGCUAAUGAAAUUAAGGAUCAUUCUUCAGCAGCAGAUCGGAUUUUUUUUAUUACUGCUCCUUGAAUUCCUAACUCCUAAGGUCGAGAACGCUCAAAUGCUUCUAUAAAAGCUUCAGACCACCAAUAACAUCAUAAGCCAUGUAUGUCGGCAUUGCUAAAAAAAAUCAGUAAAAUAAGCAAACAAAAUCUCAGUUAACCACCUUGUACACAAGACAAAGGACAUUUAAAUUCCGAAACCUGAAGAUAUGCUACAUGAGCACAGGUAUGUUUGAUAGAAACUAAUGUACAUGUAUAUGCAUGAUUACGAAAUAUGCCAAGCCUUAGUUUAGUUUGCAGGAAGUGGUCUGUUUAAGGUCAUUCAUCCUGCCCACUUUACUUAUACAAGUGUGACAACAAAACCAUUAUAACAAAAGGCAACAAUAUAUAUCAUGUGGUAGCAGGAAUAGGAACUUGGGUGUAUUUUAGUUCAGAGACAUAGAAGUGAUAAGUGAUCUAGUUUAGGGCACAUACCAACAAGUAGUUUCCCAAGGUAAAGGCUUUGCAUUAUCUGCAGCUAGCUAUGUAAAACAACGUGAACCUAAACCCAACGGCUAUUGGAUGUCUAAACUGAAUUGUUGCGUCCCUAAACCUGGAAUUACGAUUCAGUAAUAGCUGUCAAGAAUCUGCAUACCCAUGGUCAUAUGUACUGCCAGUUUAUCUAGACAAGCAUGCCAACAAUGCACUGAUAAACAGAGCAACAUCAGAAAAUAGGUUACUAUAGUGUAAUUCAGAGAUGUACAUUAGAGAAAUUAUUCAGCCAACAAUUCAGCAACUGUGUGUAUAUACUAAUAAAAAAAUCCACUUCUUCUCCCUAUUUCUAAUUUGGAACAAGCACAAUAAUUUACCCCGUCACUGAAAUCUGAAGUCAGUGAGCGCGUGUAUGUUUAUACACCCAGCCAAAAAUCUAGGGAACGCAAAAUAAGAAUCUGAAUGCCAACAAUGCACUUAUAAACAG